CGCCUCUUGAUAAGAGGUCCAGCCUGCCCAGUGAAGUUCAACGGCCGCGGUAUCCUAACCGUGCGAAGGUAGCGUAAUCACUUGUUUUCUAAAUAAAGACUAGUAUGAAAGGCACCACGAGGGCUAAACUGUCUCCUCCACCUAAUCAGUGAACCUAAUCUCCCCGUGAAGAAGCGGGGAUCCCCACAUAAGACGAGAAGACCCUAUGGAGCUUUAAACACCUAACACUGCAUGCUGAUUAUGAGUUUUUGGUUGGGGUGUCCGCGGAGAAAAACUAAUCCUCCACAAUGAAAAACAAUAAGUCACAACUUUAUGUAUCAAUAAAUUGACAUCCAUUGACCCACAACGAUCAACGAACCAAGUUACCCUAGGGAUAACAGCGCAAUCCACUUUGAGAGCCCCUAUCGACAAGUGGGCUUACGACCUCGAUGUUGGAUCGGGGUAUCCAAGUGGUGCAGCCGCUACUAAAGGUUCGUUUGUUCAACGAUUAAAACCCC
rnacentral:rRNA from 1 species